CGAGGGAGGCCGGAUCCUGGGCUGUGUCCCGGCGCCCUGUGCUCCGGGGUCUGCGCUGUGGAUUCGAGCUCUCGCCCCGCAGCCCCCU
rnacentral:pre_miRNA from 1 species